CUCUCACCUGGUGGCGCCGGGGGCAGCUGGGCGGGGCCCCGGGGAGGGCGCGCGGGGCCGGCCCCCGGGUGUGCGCCGGGAAGGGGCGGUGUUCGGGGCGUCGAGCCCCGGGAGCCUGGGGCGCCAGGGCUCGCGCCGGAAGUCAGGCAUCCUGGGAAGUUUCGUUUUCGUUCAGUGGGAGGACUUUCGCGGAUGGACCUGCCCUCCUCAUUCUUGGAUCUAAGCAGGUGGCCUGUGGAAGUUUGUCACGGGAAGGCUCAGUGGCUGGUGGCAUUUUGCACUGUUGCUUCGGACGGAAGUCAUGUCCCCGCAGGGAUCUUUCCAGUGAACUUUGAAGAGAGAGAGAGAGAGAGAGAGAGAGAGAGAAUCCUAAGCAGGCUCCACACUGUCAGCCCGACUCCAGGCUCGAUCCCGUGAAUCGUCAGAUUGUGACCUGAGCUGAGAUCAAGAGUCAGGCACAAUUGACCGAGCCACCCAGGUGCCCCUAAACAAAGGUUUAAGGCUACAGUCACACUUCCUGCUCAGAUGAAGGAGGGCAGGGGCCGAGCUGGGGCGGGUGCCCUUGUCAGUAUGUCCCCUAGAAAGUCUGCAAAUCCUGCCUGGGUCACCUCUGUCUUCCAGGCCGUUUCCUCCUCACCGCAGGGUUGACGGGUCACAGCUGGCUUCCUCCAACAGGCCAACUGUCCAUCCCUGUUGUGUGACAGGUGACGUGCAUGGAGCCCUCCAGAACUCAGCUACCAGCACCCACCGUGCCGUCCGACACGGAUGCUCUGAGGUACAACCUGACAGGAGGGGGC